rnacentral:rRNA from 1 species
GACGAACGCUGGCGGCGUGCCUAAUACAUGCAAGUUGAGCGCUGAAGGUUGGUACUUGUACCAACUGGAUGAGCAGCGAACGGGUGAGUAACGCGUGGGGAAUCUGCCUUUGAGCGGGGGACAACAUUUGGAAACGAAUGCUAAUACCGCAUAAAAACUUUAAACACAAGUUUUAAGUUUGAAAGAUGCAAUUGCAUCACUCAAAGAUGAUCCCGCGUUGUAUUAGCUAGUUGGUGAGGUAAAGGCUCACCAAGGCGAUGAUACAUAGCCGACCUGAGAGGGUGAUCGGCCACAUUGGGACUGAGACACGGCCCAAACUCCUACGGGAGGCAGCAGUAGGGAAUCUUCGGCAAUGGGCGAAAGUCUGACCGAGCAACGCCGCGUGAGUGAAGAAGGUUUUCGGAUCGUAAAACUCUGUUGGUAGAGAAGAACGUUGGUGAGAGUGGAAAGCUCAUCAAGUGACGGUAACUACCCAGAAAGGGACGGCUAACUACGUG